UACGAAGGGGGCUAGCGUUGCUCGGAAUCACUGGGCGUAAAGCGCACGUAGGCGGAUUGCUAAGUCAGGGGUGAAAUCCUGGAGCUCAACUCCAGAACUGCCUUUGAUACUGGCGACCUUGAGUCCGGGAGAGGUGAGUGGAACUGCGAGUGUAGAGGUGAAAUUCGUAGAUAUUCGGAAGAACACCAGUGGCGAAGGCGACUUACUGGACACAUAUUGACGCUGAGGUGCGAAAGCGUGGGGAGCAAACAGG
rnacentral:rRNA from 1 species